CUUUCAAGUACAUAAAUGCAUUUUUCCUCUUUCAGGUUCACUCGAGAAACCGUCUCUUGCUUUACAUUAUUGGCUUCAAUUCUGGUAACUUAUGCGACGAUUGCUGCUGCUCUUCUAAUUACUCUUUUCUUAAAGGCUAACGUUGGCACGCUGCUAAAAAUAAAACUGGCAUCGACUUCGGUGGUAGCGACGACUUCUCUGGUGAUUUGUUGCUGUUGCGGAGAGUUCUUAUUCAAUGUUAACAAGAAGUUGAUGGAUGCAGUCUACAGUAAAUCUUGGUACACCUACUCGAUAGAUGUACGUAAAUCCAUCGUCACGUUCAUGAUACAAAACCAAGUGAAUUUUGAAAUGCGAUUAUUCGACAUGGUUCCGUUAUGUGUUUCGUAUAUAGCCCAAGCAUUCAAACUACUCUAUACGUGUAUACAAGUUCUACGACGACAGGACACUUGAGACAUUUUCACAAUCUCAUCAGUACAAAUACAUACAGGAUAUUUAGCUUCAUGUAAAUAGCAUUAAUACAGCACUAAGUAGUACCUACCUAUGUACAGAAUUAUUAAAUUAUAAUUGGAAAGUUUACCUACGUCAUGAAAUAAAUAGAUGUUUCGACCCUUGAAA